UGCUGGAAACCUGUGAGGAAAUAACAUCACAAAGUCACUAAAAAUCACCUUGAGACCAGUGCUCUGUGAACUUGUGCUGCAUUCCCAGGCUGUGUGUUGCUGACGGCAUUCUGAUGCUGCUGUGUUCUUCUCCUGGAGGAUUUGACACUUUCUGAAUUACAAGUUGUCGGUCAUGAGGAGGUUUGUUUGCAUCUGAAUACCCUCAUGUUCAGAACGAGCAAUUAGAUGGUGAGUAUUAUUUCCUUUAUUCAGAUAACGGCACAAAAUGACAAAUCAGUCGUCCUGUGCCCCUUCACACAAAAAAAUAUCAACUAUUGUGAGUGUUUCAAUUGCGGGAACAUGAUGUAUUGUUUUCGUUGUAGCAAUAAGCUUAGUAAUUGUAAUGAGUACGUAUUAAUUCCCCAAUGAACGUCAAAUAUUUAGAUUUACCCCUUAAUUAAAAUGUGUACUUGAAUGCUUAUCUCCUCUGCUAUAUUACCUCCACUGUGAACAGUGUUUUUUUUUUAAUUUUUUUAUAAAGACACUCACUUCCAUAUGCUAAUUGUUUUCUCUUUUUUCAGGGAGACUUUAUCAGAACUGGCCACUAAUUAACAGAAAUCACAGUAACUAUUGCAUAGAGGGAUCUUGUUAAAUCGAAAAGCGGUGUGAUCAGGGUGGCAAAGUGCUAAUUAAGCUCUGAAUUGGGGGGCUGCAUCAACAGAGCACAGGGAUGAUCCUUCGCUGCUGUUUACAUUGCUGCAGUGCAUUCUGGGAGGUCACCCCACAUCCUGGGGCAGGCGUACUGUUCUGCUGCUGUGGAAAAUAACAAUGUGUAAGACAGAUAAAACCAGCACAUCUAAAUGUAUUUAUACUAAUGUCAUCAUAAUUUAAUGCAGGAAACUUUAUUUCCAAGAACUGAGGCAUUUCCAUACAAUAUGUGGAUGCAGAG